rnacentral:rRNA from 1 species
GACAGAGGUGCCAAGCGUUAGGCGGAAUCACUGGGCUUAAAGCGUGUGUAGGCGGACUUCUAAGUACCUUGUGAAAUCCCACGGCUUACCCGUGGAACGGCUGGGUAUACUGGGAGUCUUGAGCCACCUAGGGGCGAGUGGAACAAAUGGUGGAGCGGUGAAAUGCGUAGAUAUCAUUUGGAACGCCAAUGGUGAAAACAACUCGCUGGGGGUGUGCUGACGCUGAGACACGAAAGCCAGGGGAGCGAACGGG